CUGGCGGUCUGCUUUACACAUGCAAGUCGAACGGAAUCCUUCGGGAUUUAGUGGCGGACGGGUGAGUAACACGUAAGAACCUGCCUCUAGGACGGGGACAACAGUUGGAAACGACUGCUAAACCCGGAUGAGCCGAAAGGUAAAAGAUUAAUCGCCUAGAGAGGGGCUUGCGUCUGAUUAGCUAGUUGGUGAGGUAAGAGCCCACCAAGGCGACGAUCAGUAGCUGGUCUGAGAGGAUGAUCAGCCACACUGGGACUGAGACACGGCCCAGACUCCUACGGGAGGCAGCAGUGGGGAAUUUUCCGCAAUGGGCGAAAGCCUGACGGAGCAAGACCGCGUGGGGGAGGAAGGUUCUUGGAUUGUCAACCCCUUUUCUCAGGGAAGAACACAAUGACGGUACCUGAGGAAAAAGCAUUGGCUAACUCCGUGCCAGCAGCCGCGGUAAUACGGGGGAUGCAAGCGUUAUCCGGAAUGAUUGGGCGUAAAGAGUCCGUAGGUAGUCAUCCAAGUCUGCUGUUAAAGAGCGAGGCUUAACCUCGUAAAGGCAGUGGAAACUGGAAGACUAGAGUGUAGUAGGGGCAGAGGGAAUUCCUGGUGUAGCGGUGAAAUGCGUAGAGAUCAGGAAGAACACCGGUGGCGAAGGCGCUCUGCUGGGCUAUAACUGACACUGAGGGACGAAAGCUAGGGGAGCGAUGGGAUUAGAUACCCCAGUAGUCCUAGCGGUAACGAUGGAAACUAGGUGUGGCUGUAUCGACCCGGCCGUGCCGAAGCAA
rnacentral:rRNA from 1 species